UAGUCCACACCGUAAACGAUGCACACUAGGUGCUGGGAGUUAAUCUCAGUGCCGAAGCAAACGCAGUAAGUGUGCCGCCUGGGGAGUAUGCUCGCAAGGGUGAAACUCAAAGGAAUUGACGGGGGGCCCGCACAAGCGGUGGAGCAUGUGAUUUAAUUCGAUGAUACGCGAGUAACCUUACCAGGGCUUGACAUAUAAUAGACGAUCGUAGAGAUACGGUUCCCCUUCGGGGCUGUUAUACAGGUGCUGCAUGGCUGUCGUCAGCUCGUGCUGUGAAGUGUUGGGUUAAGUCCCGCAACGAGCGCAACCCCUGCUGUCUGUUGCUAACAUUAAGUUGAGGACUCGGACGGCACUGCCGGUGACAAACCGGAGGAAGGUGGGGGACGACGUCAAGUCAUCAUGGCCCUUAUGUCCUGGGGCUACACACGUGCUACAAUGGGCAAGUACAGAGUGAAGCGAAACGGGUGACGUGGGAG
rnacentral:rRNA from 1 species